rnacentral:lncRNA from 1 species
CCCAAGUAGCUGGGAUUACAAGCGCCUGCCAACACGCCCAGCUAAUUUUUGUAUUUUUAAUAGAGAUGGGGUUUCACCAUUUUGGCCAGGCUGGUCCUGAACUCCUGACCUCCUGAUCCACCUGCCUCGGCCUCCCAAAGUGCUGGGAUUACAGGCGUGAGCCACUGCGUCCGGCCUUGCCUCACCGUUAAAAGACUACAAUAUGACGUGAUACAUCAGCUUUUUCGAAGUCCAGUGUACGUCAGACCCUGAGGCCUGCAGUAUCUGGAAUGGUGUUGCUGGAUGUGCAAAACUGCCAGGCUCUGGCUUGUGGUGUUCUCAUCUACCAGAUCAUUCCUGGGAGGCCCAAUUUGGCCAGCUGGCUCACCUCUGCCGGUGGUAUUGCUAGCAUUGCACAUUGGAACUGCAGCUUGGGAAAGUGAUAGAAACCAAACACAUGGUGGGUACAAAGCAAGUUUGUUGUAUUUUAUCCACAUUAGUAUUUUGGAUGUUUCAAUAUUUAAACAUUUCAAAAAGCAAAAUCAAUGAUAAUACUUCUUGAAUGUGUUGUGAACAAUGCAAGCCUUUUAUUAAAAAUUAUGGAAUAUUCGAAAGAAAUGUUUUUCUUACAAGAGAGCAGAGAAUAAUUACUCAGGGUUCCUGUGUCAAAGCCUCUAGGGCCCCUUUACUGUCCAGAAUUCUUAGUAAGUGGAAAACCUUUCCCAAGCACAAUGAAGUCUCAACCCUGAUACGGGCAGGACAGCAAAAGACCUGUCUCCUCUUUCCAGAGCAAACCCCAGUGGUUGCACCUGUCCUCCCAUUACACUUUGGGGAUAAACCCUGGAGGCCAUAGUGUAGGGGACCAGUUUCAUGGGUCUUGUUGCCAAAGCUUACUUUUUUGAUCCUACUGCUAAAUUCUGACCCUUCCUCCAAUUGAUCUGCUUUCCAAAAAGAGCAUACCAACACCUGCACAAACCAUUUGAUGUGGUGCAGUAAGCUGUUUCAUCCAAGUGUUCCAAAGCCAUAGGAUGAGCAAGGGGGAAAAACUUAGACCUGUAUAGGAUCUUCCCCCAGGUAGUUACUCUUUCACAGGGGGUGCAUGGGAGACAGGCUGCUGUUGUGCCAUCCUUUCCAUUACAUAAUGAUAACAACUGUUACUUGGAAUGCUUUAAUGCUUGAUGUUAUUUAUGUUUAAAUAUUUGCUGUAUUCCUGGCUCUGUGCUAAAUGCUAUGCCUGCAUCUUAAAAAAUCCUUAAAAUAACUCAAGGUAGGUACCAUUGUUGCUUCCAUUCUCCAGAUGGGACACUAAGACUUUAAGAAGUUAAAUAGCUCACCUGAAAACACACAGCUAGUAAGUAACACAAUGGAGACUUGAACCCAAGUCUAUUCUACUCUAGACCAUGGACUCCAAGAUUAAUUAAUUAUGCAAAUAAGGAAUGUGGAGAGUUCAGCCUUGAGCAAAGGGAGAUUAGCUUGUUUUGCACCAACUCUUCUGCUGAGGAAAGGACAAAAGCCAGAAUAUACAUACCUAUUCAGGGAUCAGAGGGCUGUUGAGAAAGCAAGGGCUAAUAUUCGAGAGACCUACAUUUGAUACUGUUCGUUUCCCCCUCAAGGGACUUGCUAAUUCAAGGGCAGGGGCUGAGAAACUGAACAGAAUUUGUAGAAGACUAAUGCAGACCAAAAAUUAGAGUUGGGGUCCAAGUAGAAGCAGCCCUGGAAAACACCCCAGACUUUCUCGUGGGACCCCAAAGAGCUACUCUUUGAUUAAAGGUGAAUUGGUUAUGGGCCUGUCCUCACAAGGACUGAAGCCCAGCCUCAGAUCUAGUGGAUAGCCAGAAGCAAAAACAAAGCCCCUCUGAAGGAGGACAUGGUCUAAUUUCUCAAAUUUUCUCUAUUAAUUGUUUUCAAAGUCUGCUUAAGAAAUAGGAAUGCAAAAACACAAGAUUCGACCAACAAUGAGAAAGUGAACAAUAGAAACAGACCUCCAGGAAAUUCACGUAGUUAACAUUAUCUGACCGGUGUCUUACAAUAACUAUGAUUAAAAUGUUCAUGAAUUAAAUGACCAAAUGGAACAACUUCAGGAGAGAACUGGACACUAUGUUUAAAAUUCUAGAAUUGAAAAAUAAUAUAACAAUUUAAGAAAUCAGUAGAUGGCUCUGAUAGACACAACUUAAGAGAUAGGUAAUGAAAUGAAAGAUAAGAAAAUAUCCAGACUGGUGCUGGGGGUAAAUAGGAAGACAACUAUUCGAAGAGUUAAUGGUUAAGGUUGUUCCCAAAUUAAUGAAAGACAUUAAGCCACAUAAAUAAGAAAUGCUGUUGACCUCUAAGCAGGAUAAGUUACAAUGAAAGUUAUACUUAAUUACUUCAUAGUAAAACUACUGGAAAACAAAGACUAAUUUUAAAAGUAGCCAGAGGAAAAAUAUAUAUUACUUUCAAAGGAGCAACAGCAAGCCUUGAGAGGGAAUUUUCAGCAGAAGUAAUGAUAGUGGAAAAUGGAAUGGUGUUUUCAAAGAGCUUCAAGAAAAUAAUAGUCAACCUAGAAGACUAUGAGGCAAAAAUAUCCUUCCAAAGACACGUCCAGACAAAGGAAAAUAGAAUUUGCCACCAAUGAAAAGUACCAAAAGUAUGAAAGGAAAGUACUAAAGGGUGUUGUUGGAGCAGAAGGAAAAUGAUCACUGACCACAGCUGGAGGUGCAGAAAGGCAUUGAAAGGCAAUGGAAAGGGUAAGUAUGUGUAUAAAACUAAAUAAAUAUUGAAUGUGUGAAACAACUUUUUACUUUCUGGGGUCUUAAAUAUAUAAAGAACUAAAAUACAUCACCAAGAGAAGCACGUUAAGUGUGGAGGGAGGUAAAUGUAGGGGUCCCCAACAUUUCUGGCACCAGAGACCAGUUUUGUGGAAGAUAAUUUUUUCCCAGACAGUGGGUGGAGGGGUGGAGGGAUUGGGAGCAUGGUGUUGGGAUGACACUGUCCCACCUUAAAUCAUCAGGCAUUAGAUUCUCAUAAGGAGUGCACAACCUAGAUCCCUCACAUGCACAGUUCACAAUAGGGUUAGCGCUCCUAUGAGAAUCUAAUGCUGCUGUUGGUCUGACAGGAGGUGGAGCUCAGGCGGUAAUGCUUGCUGGCUUGCCACCCAUCUCUUGCUGUGCAGCCCAGUUCCUGACAGGCCACUGACCAGUACUGGUUCACAGCCUGGGGACUGUGGACCCCUGGGUAAAUGGAAUUAAAGUAUUCUGAAGUCCUUGAAUUGUCUUGAAAGUGAAAAUGGUGGAGGCACUGAUUUAUAUUAGAAAUUAAUAAAUCAGGGGUACAUGUUUCAGUUUCUACGGUAUUUUGUAAAAGAAUAAGAGUAUGUAAAACUAACAAGAUAACAGAAGGAGAAUAUGAAAUAAAAUAAUCCAAAGGAAGGCAAAAAGAAAAAAAGGCGCAUAGAACAGAUGGGAACAAAUAGAAAACAAACACCCACAUGCAUCAAUCUCUACAUCAAGCAUAUGUGGACUAAAUAUUCCAAUUCAAAGGCAAUAUUAUUAUCACCCUGGAUAAAGAACAAAUAUAAUUCUCUGAGACUUAAAAACAACAUACCUUAAACAAGGAUACAGAAAGAUGGAAAGUAAAAGGAUGGAAAAAGGACUAUCAUGCAAGUAUUAACCAAAAGGAAGCUGGUGUAUUUAGUACACGAAGUGAACUUUCAGGUAUUACCAGAGUAUGAAGGAUAUUUCAUAAUGAUAAAGGGCUUGCUUUACCAGUACUAUACCGAUGGCUGAGGUAUUUGGGCUGUCUGUGAGGCUCAGAUGGGCUGCCUGUGGCCCUGCCUCACCUUGGAGAUGGCCCAGGAAGCUAACUGAGACUUGGAGUUGGUCGAAGAGGAGCCAGACUCUAAAUAUUUGAAGAUUGUGUGCGUAUGUGUGUGUGUGUUUAGGGGAAAACAUGAGAGGUAGAGUACUAUUCAAAAGGACAAGAAGUGGAACAUUUUCUUUUAUAAAUCAAAUAAAUGGUGGCUCUGAGCCUUCCCCCACCUCCUGCCUUUUUUGGGUCCAGAUUGCUAAGAAAUGUUAUUAAUGAUAGCUCACACUUACGACAUUAUUGCCUUCUAAGUGCUUUGUAGGUAUUAAUUUAUUUAAUCCUCACAACAGCCUUAGGAGACAGGCAUCAUCACUACCAUCGCCAUUUUACAGAUGGAAAAACCAGCAACCAUCAGAGCUGGUAUUCAAAAUAAGCCAAUUCAGAUUCCGAGUCCCGGCUCCUAACCAUGGAGUGGCCUCAGGGUUUUAUAGUUUGUCCGGCUCUUUGGAUGAACAUCACACCUCAUGGAGGAGAGUCCCUUCCAUUUUAACGGCUCCAGGUUGUCAUGGAAAUCCUCUGUAUACAAGAGGGUAAGGAGGAGGAUGAGAAGCAAUACAUGCUUAUUGGGACUUUCUAUCAUCCCAGGACUUAUCCAGGUACAUUAUAACAAUGUUGAAUACAGUAUUAGUCCCAUUUUAACUAUGAGGAAAAUAAGGUUUGGACUGUCAGAGACAGAGCAAGACACAUUGGUAAGGGCAGACAAGGGAUUCAUCUGACUCCAAUGCCUCUUCCUUGGUAAACCAGACUGGCUUGUCACACCGUGAAAUUAGAGUCAACUUGUUAAAUCUUGACAGGUUGCUAAAUUAUUAAUUACACCCCCAGGAGCUGUGACUGGAGCAGCAGGGAUGCUAUGGCUGCACUGUACUAUUUUUAGCACUAGAUGGUGCUGUAACACUGCACAUCUCUUCCGCGGUGGCCCUUGGAGGAAGGUUACUUCAGGGCUUGGAGACCCUGGAGGGAAGGAUGCUACCUUACCAGAGCGUGAAAAAAACAUGGAAGACAGGAUACUCUCGGGCCCUGAGAAAGCUGGAGACUGUAGCCACCAGGUGGCUCCAGGAUGUGCAGUACUGGCGUCUGGGUUUUGCUCACACAACCGUGAACUCCUGGUCCCACCGAGCCCUAGCGAGUGGAUUGGAGCACACACCCACCCACCUCCUCAGAGCUCCUACGAGUAGAGGAGGUACCUAGGCACGUGGGAGCUUGGCGCCUUGUUAGGUGCUCAGGAUACUGGUUGUCCGGAAUCCCAGUGAGGUGCAGUCCCGCCCUUGUGCCACUUUCCCAUGCGCUUCCUGCCCCUCUGGGGGCUGCAGAGGCUGCAGAGUUGUCCAGCUUGAGAAACUGUAUCAAGGUUGCUCCCUGACGGCCUGGCAACUCGCUGAAGAGCUGCCUUCAGUUCAGAACAGUUUUAGGGAGAUUGUCAUAAACUCAAUGAGUUUAAAUGAUUUUACACUGACUCUUCAAAAAUGUCAAGGUCAUGAAAGACAAAGGCCGAGGAACUGCCCCAGACUGGAGGAGGCGGGAGACAUGGCAGCUGUGAAUGCACCGUGGGUCCUGAACCAGAAAAAGGAGCUCAGUGGGACGAUUGGUAACUUUUUGAUGCAAUCUGUCGAUUUUGCAUAUAGAAGACGGUAAUUUUAAAAACAGUGAAAGAAGAAAUGUAUCUGAGAAUUCAAUCAGUCAAUAGACUUUAGACAUCUGAAAAGAAAACACAAGAGGUUCGGUUGGUGCAAUGUUCCUUUCUUCCCAGGACUUUCUGGUCUUCAAGGCUUUCUCAUGAGACAGAAGACUGAUGGAUGUAGAAGUUUCUAAGAGGACAGACGGAGCCUUGCUCUGUUGCCCAGGCUGGAAUGCAGUG